rnacentral:rRNA from 1 species
GGGGGGGGGAAUUGGAUUUUAAGCGGGCGCGGCGAUUCAGCCCUUACCCUGCUGUACUUAAGCAUAUCCAUAAGGCGGAGGGAAAGAAACUAACAAGGAUUCCCCUAGUAACUGCGAGUGAAGCGGGAAAAGCGUCAAAUUUCAAAUCUGGCGGUCCCGCCGCCCGAGUUGUAUUCUGGAGAAGCGUCUUCUGCGCCGGACCGUGGACAAGUGCCUUGGAACAGGACGUCACAGAGGGUGAGAAUCCCGUCUUUGACACGGACCUCGGGCGCUCCGCGAUGCGCUCUCGAAGAGUCGAGUUGUUUGGGAAUGCAGCUCAAAACGGGUGGUAAAUUCCAUCUAAAGCUAAAUAUUGGCGAGAGACCGAUAGCGAACAAGUACCGUGAGGGAAAGAUGAAAGGCACUUUGGUAAGAGAGUAAAACAGUACGUGAAAUUGUUGAAAGGGAAACGCUUGAAGUCAGUCGCGUCGGCCGGAACUCAGCCUUGCUUCUGCUCGGCGCACUUUCCGGCCCGACGGGCCAGCAUCGGUUUCGUGGGGCGGACACUGGUGGGGGGAAGGUGGCGCGCCCCUGGCCCCGUUAUAGCCUCCCGUGCGUGAACGCCCCGUGGGACCGAGGAAUCCGGCGUGAGCCUGGGAUGCUGGCGUAAUGGCUUUAAACGACCCGUCUUGAAACAGCGG